rnacentral:snoRNA from 1 species
CUUCUCUCAGCUCUGCUCAGUUACGCUUGUCCUGUAGUGUAAUUGGCUUUAAUAACAGAGAGAGAAAGUGACUUGUUCUUUUAUGCACGGCAGGUUGGCCUCACAACAUGGUCUUCCUGUUCCUUUAUGAGGAUCUACAGGC